rnacentral:rRNA from 1 species
UACGUAGGUGACCAGCGUUGUCCGGAUUUACUGGGCGUAAAGAGCGCGCAGGCGGUCGUUCAAGUCGAGUGUGAAAGCCCCCGGCUCAACUGGGGAGGGUCACUCGAUACUGAUCGACUUGAAGGCAGGAGAGGGAAGCGGAAUUCCCGGUGUAGUGGUGAAAUGCGUAGAUAUCGGGAGGAACACCAGUGGCGAAGGCGGCUUUCUGGUCUGCUCUUGACGCUGAGGCGCGAAAGCUAGGGUAGCAAACGGG